rnacentral:rRNA from 1 species
AACGUAGGACACGAGCGUUAUCCGGAGUUACUGGGCGUAAAGGGCGUGCAGGCGGCGUGGUAAGUCUGAUGUGAAAGCUCCCGGCUCAACCGGGAGAGGACAUUGGAGACUGCCAAGCUCGAGGCAGAUAGAGGGAUGUAGAAUUCCGGGUGUAGUGGUGAAAUGCGUAGAGAUCCGGAGGAAUACCAGAGGCGAAGGCGGCAUCCUGGGUCUGACCUGACGCUGAGACGCGACAGCAUGGGGAGCGAACGGG